rnacentral:rRNA from 1 species
UACGUAUGGUGCAAGCGUUAUCCGGAUUUACUGGGUGUAAAGGGAGCGUAGACGGCUGUGCAAGUCUGAAGUGAAAGGCCGGGGCCCAACCCCGGGAGUGCUUUGGAAACUGUGCGGCUAGAGUGUCGGAGAGGCAAGUGGAAUUCCCAGUGUAGCGGUGAAAUGCGUAGAUAUUAGGAGGAACACCAGUGGCGAAGGCGGCUUACUGGACUGUAACUGACGUUGAGGCUCGAAAGCGUGGGGAGCAAACAGG